rnacentral:rRNA from 1 species
GAUGAACGCUAGCGGCAGGCUUAAUACAUGCAAGUCGUGGGGCAGCAUGAAUGUAGCAAUACAUUUGAUGGCGACCGGCAAACGGGUGCGGAACACGUACACAACCUUCCUAUAAGUGGGGAAUAGCCCAGAGAAAUUUGGAUUAAUACCACGUAACAUAAUGAUGUGGCAUCACAUUAUUAUUAUAGCUACGGCGCUUAUUGAUGGGUGUGCGGCUUAUUAGAUAGUUGGCGGGGUAACGGCCCACCAAGUCUACGAGCAGUAGCUGAUGUGAGAGCAUGAUCAGCCACACGGGCACUGAGACACGGGCCCGACUCCUACGGGAGGCAGCAGUAAGGAAUAUUGGUCAAUGGACGCAAGUCUGAACCAGCCAUGCCGCGUGAAGGAUUAAGGUCCUCUGGAUUGUAAACUUCUUUUAUCUGGGACGAAAAAAGGCGAUUCUUCGUCACUUGACGGUACCAGAUGAAUAAGCACCGGCUAACUCCGUGCCAGCCGCCGCCGUAACAC